UGGGGAAUAUUGGACAAUGGGCGAAAGCCUGAUCCAGCCAUGCCGCGUGUGUGAAGAAGGUCUUCGGAUUGUAAAGCACUUUAAGUUGGGAGGAAGGGCAGUAAGUUAAUACCUUGCUGUUUUGACGUUACCAACAGAAUAAGCACCGGCUAACUUCGUGCCAGCAGCCGCGGUAAUACGGAGGGUGCGAGCGUUAAUCGGAAUUACUUGGCGUAAAGCGCAUGCAGGUGGUUUGUUAAGUCAGAUGUGAAAGCCCGGGGCUCAACCCCGGAAUUGCAUUUGAAACUGGCAGACUAGAGUACUGUAGAGGGUGGUGGAAUUUCCUGUGUAGCGGUGAAAUGCGUAGAUAUAGGAAGGAACACCAGGGGCGAAGGCGACCACCUGGACUGAUACUGACACUGAGGUGCGAAAGCGUGGGGAGCAAACA
rnacentral:rRNA from 1 species